AAUCAACGCUGGCGGCGUGCCUAACACAUGCAAGUCGAACGCGAAAGCCCCGCAAGGGGUAAGUAGAGUGGCAAACGGGUGAGUAACACGUGGGUGACCUGCCUUCGAGUGGGGGAUAACGUCCCGAAAGGGACGCUAAUACCGCAUGACAUCCUGCUUUUGAAAAAGCGGAGAUCAAAGCUGGGGAUCGCAAGACCUAGCGCUUGAAGAGGGGCCCGCGCCUGAUUAGCUAGUUGGUGAGGUAACGGCUCACCAAGGCGACGAUCAGUAUCCGGCCUGAGAGGGCGGACGGACACACUGGGACUGAGACACGGCCCAGACUCCUAAGGGAGGCAGCAGGGGGGAAUUGUUCGCAAUGGGCGCAAGCCUGACGACGCAACGCCGCGUGGAGGACGAAGAGCUUCGGGUCGUAAACUCCUGUCGAGCGGGACGAACGCUUCGCGGAUGAAUAAUCCGCGGAAUUGACGGUACCGCUAAAGGAAGCCCCGGCUAACUCCGUG
rnacentral:rRNA from 1 species